AUCACGAGGUUUGACAGUUCUAAAUUAAAUUAGGUUUGUCGGUCCUUUUCUUUUUACAUUGGUAAGAAAAAGAUGCGAAUACUCUAGAAUUUAGUUGCGCUCAGAAUCAGUACCAUUGCCAUACAAAUUCAGGUUUUGAUAACGCCAACGCUUGCAGACAACCUCGUGUUUGAAUGGUGUCUAGGCCCGCAGGACUGACUUAGGAAAUAUAAUCGGUAUUUUUUACAGUUCGUGUCUAUGGACCAAACGUUGCUUUUUUUUUAAGUUACUAUCUAUGGAUGUUUUUUUUUAAUUUUGAUUUUACAUAGUACCCAAUGAACAUGUAUUGUGAUUUGUCCGUGAUAUUAUAACAAGGUUUUGAUUUUGCUUUUUAUUGUGAUUUUUUUGAAGUACAUAUUUGUAAGGAAUCGACAAAGGGCUUAUUAAAUCAUCUAUUUUCAUGGUUUUUGUGACUUAUGUUGUUUAUUCCCAUUAUGAGCAGACUUGCAUUUUAAAUGAUUACUUUGUUUUAUACCACGUUAUUUCCAUUAUUUAAACAUUUAGUUCGUAAACGUGGUCAUUAUAGGUAUUUAUUAAAACAUAUUUGGACUGUGUAUGGCAUUUUGUACUUUAUUAUAAAGCAGUAAACGUCGAAAGUUACAAAAAUCGUUAUAUAUUUGAAUUAUCCAUGAACAGUAUAAAUAUUAAGAUUUACAUUAAAACGUUUAAUCAUUAUUAAAUUAUCAUGAUGAUUAUGUUACGGAUUGAGAUUUUUAGAAUACGGUUAUUUCACGUUUUCCAUUUUGAAUUAAAAGUGAUAGUACAAGGAAUCAGAGUCGUUUUUGGUUGCUAUAAUUUUUUUUUAAAUGCUACUUGAACUCGUUUGAUUUGGAUUUGUUAUUAAACAUUAUUUAUUGCCAUAAAAUUUAUUCGAUGAAUUAAAUUGUUUGUUGUGAAAGAUAUAAUAUGGCGAAAUAUUUAUCAAAAAUUGCCUCUAGAUUUUUUUCAAUCUGGAUUAAGAGACCAGAGUCAAUACAGUACCCAGCAGCAUAGAUUUCACAUCGAAUUUUAGAAAGAAACUUUGGCUUCGUAGAGCUUCGUCUCUGUCACGCAUAUCUAUGUGCCAUUUUGUCGGUAUCAACGACAGAGACAAUGCGCAACGAAACUAUUACUUUCUAAACUUCAAUGUGCAAUCCUUCCUGCCAAGUACUGUCAUUCUUAUUGCUGAUAGGUACCCCAGCAAUGUUUUUUGGUAAGGAACAGAUUCAGGUCUUCGCAAUUUUUCAUAUGAUUCCGCCCCUAAAUUAUGAGUUUAUGUUCAAACACGAUCGAGUCAAUUCCCCCUGUACAUAGUUGUGCCAUUUUACUAUUAAACUAUUUGGAAAAGGGGAUACCCGUAGGUGUUGUGUAUUGAAUUUUUCUAUAUACUAAAUUGAGGCUCACUGUCAAUCUGUCAUUGACAUAAUUAUGACAUUUUGACGUUCGUUUUCUCUAUGAGGUACAGUCAGCGACAAAUUUCUACGGACACAAUUGUAAUACUUAUUGUAUUUGUAAUACGUAUUCUAUCGUUAGGUAUUUUGAACGCACAAUUGUUUUUACAUACACUAUAAUUUAUGUAAAAUGGGUUAUUCGGGCUUGAAUGACUAUAAAAUUAUAUUAUACACACCGAAAAUUAAAGAAUGAUUUUUAUUUGA